UACGGAGGGGGCUAGCGUUGUUCGGAAUUACUGGGCGUAAAGCGCGCGUAGGCGGAUCUGCAAGUCGGGGGUGAAAUCCCGAGGCUCAACCUCGGAACUGCCUUCGAUACUGCGGGUCUCGAGUCCGGGAGAGGUGAGUGGAAUUCCUAGUGUAGAGGUGAAAUUCGUAGAUAUUAGGAAGAACACCAGUGGCGAAGGCGGCUCACUGGCCCGGUACUGACGCUGAGACGCGAAAGCGUGGGGAGCGAACGAGGA
rnacentral:rRNA from 1 species